rnacentral:rRNA from 1 species
GUGGGUAGUUUGACUGGGGCGGUCUCCUCCUAAAGAGUAACGGAGGAGCACGAAGGUUGGCUAAUCCUGGUCGGACAUCAGGAGGUUAGUGCAAUGGCAUAAGCCAGCUUGACUGCGAGCGUGACGGCGCGAGCAGGUGCGAAAGCAGGUCAUAGUGAUCCGGUGGUUCUGAAUGGAAGGGCCAUCGCUCAACGGAUAAAAGGUACUCCGGGGAUAACAGGCUGAUACCGCCCAAGAGUUCAUAUCGACGGCGGUGUUUGGCACCUCGAUGUCGGCUCAUCACAUCCUGGGGCUGAAGUAGGUCCCAAGGGUAUGGCUGUUCGCCAUUUAAAGUGGUACGCGAGCUGGGUUUAGAACGUCGUGAGACAGUUCGGUCCCUAUCUGCCGUGGGCGCUGGAGAACUGAGGGGGGCUGCUCCUAGUACGAGAGGACCGGAGUGGACGCAUCACUGGUGUUCGGGUUGUCAUGCCAAUGGCACUGCCCGGUAGCUAAAUGCGGAAGAGAUAAGUGCUGAAAGCAUCUAAGCACGAAACUUGCCCCGAGAUGAGUUCUCCCUGAGACUUUAGGUCUCCUGAAGGAACGUUGAAGACGACGACGUUGA